rnacentral:rRNA from 1 species
GUCUAUGGCCACGUCACCCUGAACAUGCGGAUCUCGUCUGAUCUCCCAAGCUAAGCAGUGUCCAGCCUGGUUAGUACUAAGUGGGAAACCACUUUGAAAUACCAAGUGCUGUAGGUG